AUGUGAAUUUUCAUGGAAUUAUGCUGCAAACACUGUAAAAGGCACUAAAUAUUCACCACCCAGAAAGCAUAUUUCAAAUUUGGGGACAAACAAGAUUCAAAAUCAAGAACAUUUUUUUUUAUCAAAAUACAAAACCCCAUAUGGAUAAUAAUCAAGAAUCAAAACCCCACUACUUUUUCAGUGAAUUUUUUAAAGAAUUAUGCUUCAAAACACUGAAAAGGCACUAAAGAUUCAUCACCCAGAAAGCAUUUUUCAAUUUUAGGGCCAAAAAAAAUUGAUUUGAGGGGAUAAAGUAAUGAAGGGUUUAUGAUAAAAAAUGCAAAAAUUCCAGAUGGGUAUUAAUCAAGAAUCACAAGAAAAGAAAAAAGUUUGAAACUUUUGCAAGAUUAUGGUUAAAAAAAUGGAAAUUUGGUUAAAAAGUUUGAAACUUUUCUUUAGAACAUAGUAACUUCUGCAGAUGGAUAUUAAAUGGCUUUACACAAGGAAAGAGACGAUAGGCCACGACCAGAAAUGAG
rnacentral:lncRNA from 1 species